rnacentral:rRNA from 1 species
AGGACGAACGCUGGCGGCGUGCUUAACACAUGCAAGUCGAGCGGAAAGGCCCUUUGGGGUACUCGAGCGGCGAACGGGUGAGUAACACGUGAGCAACCUGCCCUUAGCUCCGGGAUAGCUCCGGGAAACCGGAAUUAAUACCGGAUACGACCACGGCUGACAUCGGCUGUGGUGGAAAGGAUUUCCGGCUAAGGAUGGGCUCGCGGCCUAUCAGCUAGUUGGUGGGGCAAUGGCCCACCAAGGCGACGACGGGUAGCCGGCCUGAGAGGGCGACCGGCCACGACUGGGACUGAGACACGGCCCAGACUCCUACGGGAGGCAGCAGUGGGGAAUAUUGCGCAAUGGGCGAAAGCCUGACGCAGCGACGCCGCGUGGGGGAUGAAGGCCUUCGGGUUGUAAACCCCUUUCAGCAGGGACGAAGCGCAAGUGACGGUACCUGCAGAAGAAGCGCCGGCUAACUACGUGCCAGCAGCCGC